rnacentral:lncRNA from 1 species
UUCCUAAAACGUGAGGUGAGCUGCUGAUUCUACUCUUGGAGUGACUCAACAUAAUGCUCCCAGAAAUUGGAACCGGAAAUAAGAUAAAAGAAUCAAAAAAAAGACCAUAGUAGAUCUAUGAUUAGCCCUCAGUCGGGAUGGUCCUGUCGAAGAACUUGAUUCAUGCAGAGAAAGAAACUUAGGAUAGGAGACUGAUGGAAGCAGCAGGGCUGGGUCUGCGAGUGAAACCCCAAA